AUGUGUACGAUGAUGAGGCAUGGAACAUGCUCGGCCCCUGCUGUACAGGAAGAAUUACAGUACUUCACUACUGCCCGUGAUCUCUACAUCAGAUAUAAUGUUACAGGAAUACUGGCGAUCGGGGAUAUCUUGAUCUCCAACGAUCAUCUGCAAGAAGAGCUCAGUUCAAGAACUAAGGCUAUGCUUUGCCAAGGAUUUGAAGUUGUUAUUUCUGGCCAUGCAUUAUCUUUAUGGAUGAAAUCAAUGAAAUUUUUGGGAGAAAAUUUAGUGGGGGAACCAGUGAUGACUUCCCGCGGAUGCGGAUGGAGCUUCUUAAUCAGCUGGAUGGAUUUGAUGAGCUUGGCAAGGUAG
rnacentral:rRNA from 1 species